ACGAUCGGUUCCAAACUCUUAAGUUUUGCUCUUAUUGAAAGGAGCUUCCGAAUGAGAGCUGUGCCGGCCGGCAUCGUCAUGGGUUGGUUCUCCUUCCCACCGAGAUUGAAUCAUAUCAUUGAACCCUACAAUGAUGAUCCAAAAAUUCUCAAAAUGAAAUGGUUUAGUCAGGGGGAGCUUACCUUGUGAACAGGCUAUAGUUCGAAGUAGUAGGUGUUGCCCAAAGAUGGCCACCCG
rnacentral:lncRNA from 1 species